GUUAGGGUGGCAGAGCCCGGUAAAUUGCGUAAGACUUAAACCCUUGUCCCCAGAGGUUCAAUUCCUCUCCCUAACA
rnacentral:tRNA from 1 species